rnacentral:tRNA from 1 species
GGGCCAUUAGCUCAGUAGGUAGAGCGGCUCCCUUUUAAGGAGACGGUCGCAAGUUCGAUUCUUGCAUGGCCCACCA